rnacentral:rRNA from 1 species
GAUGAACGCUGGCGGCGUGCCUAAUACAUGCAAGUCGAGCGAACGGACGAGAAGCUUGCUUCUCUGAUGUUAGCGGCGGACGGGUGAGUAACACGUGGAUAACCUACCUAUAAGACUGGGAUAACUUCGGGAAACCGGAGCUAAUACCGGAUGAUAUUUUGAACCGCAUGGUUCAAAAGUGAAAGACGGUCUUGCUGUCACUUAUAGAUGGAUCCGCGCUGCAUUAGCUAGUUGGUAAGGUAACGGCUUACCAAGGCAACGAUGCAUAGCCGACCUGAGAGGGGGAUCGGCCACACUGGAACUGAGAAACGGUCCAGACUCCUACGGGAGGCAGCAGGAGGGAAUCUUCCGCAAUGGGCGAAAGCCUGACGGAGCAACGCCGCGUGAGUGAUGAAGGUCUUCGGAUCGUAAAACUCUGUUAUUAGGGAAGAACAUAUGUGUAAGUAACUGUGCACAUCUUGACGGUACCUAAUCAGAAAGCCACGGCUAACUACGU